UACGAAGGGGGCUAGCGUUGUUCGGAAUUACUGGGCGUAAAGCGUGCGCAGGCGGCUUUGCAAGACAGAUGUAGCGAAAUCCCGGCUUGAACCUGGACUGCAUUUGUGACUGCAUGGCUGGAGUGCGGCAGAGGGGGAUGGAAUUCCGCGUGUAGCAGUGAAAUGCGUAGAUAUGCGGAGAAACACCGAUGGCGAAGGCAAUCCCCUGGGCCUGCACUGACGCUCAUGCACGAAAGCGUGGGGAGCAAACAGG
rnacentral:rRNA from 1 species